rnacentral:rRNA from 1 species
UACGUAGGGCGCAAGCGUUGUCCGGAAUUAUUGGGCGUAAAGGGCUCGUAGGCGGCUCGUUGCGUCGGCUGUGAAAACCCGCAGCUCAACUGUGGGCUUGCAGCUGAUACGGGCGGGCUGGGAUUCGGUAGGGGAGACUGGAAUUCCUGGUGUAGCGGUGAAAUGCGCAGAUAUCAGGAGGAACACCGGUGGCGAAGGCGGGUCUCUGGGCCGAUAUCGACGCUGAGGAGCGAAAGCGUGGGGAGCGAACAGG